rnacentral:sRNA from 1 species
AAAAACUGCCUUGGCUAAAAAGCAAGGUAGUUCAGGGCUCAGCAGCUUUGAGGCGAACAUGCUCAGAAUGAGCUCUGGAGACUUCAGUGAGAGUCUCGCCUGGUGAAGAGGAGAAGGAUUCAAAAUGGAAGCAGAGAUUCCAGCCUUUGUCCUGGAUUUUAUUACAUUAUUGACCCAAUGGAGGAACCCGUGCUUUUAGCAAGGGUAGUUUUAAGUGCCUGUUAAAGGAGAGAGGGCCGACUUGGUGGUGCGUAUCUUUAAUUCUGGCACUUGGGAGGCAGAAGCAGAGGGAUUUCAUCUAACAGUAGGAGUGCUGAGUCAGAUGUCAACAUUUCAAGCCACAUGACCUCCUUUUCCACAAAAGGAGAGGGGGAUGGGUAUCAAAGUGACCAUUUGGGGAAGGCAGAAAUUCAGCAUUUCAGCCCAUCUUCAAGGUAUUCAUGAGAUUUUGGGUUGGCUGGGAGGAAGGAUAGAAUAUGUAGAAGAAAGCAGUGUGGGCCAAAUUGGUCCAUUAACCAUUAUCUUGGUUUAGAUUCUGUAAGAAGGCCCAAAGGACAAAUUCCAGCUCUACUGCCUGGCCAUGAAGGACACCUCCUCUCUAACACCUGACCCCCUCUCUACCACCUGGAUCCACAGAGAUUCUGACUCCUGCUCUAGGAGGACCUUUCAUAUGUGGCCUGGCUGCAAGACCUGCCGUUCUUAGAAUCAAGGGCACUGCAGGUCUCUGACAAUGAGCAGAGAUGUGCAAGAUACCUUUGUAGGACUCCGUAAUAGCUACAGGAAGACACCUCACCAUGCUUAUCUUGGCUCCUUCAGCCUUGGGACUUACCAAAUGCUGUAUAGAGAUAUGGGAAUGUUUACCUCUAAUGGGAGAGACAUAUCACCCAUUUUAAUGUGUGCAAAGAGAAGCUGAAUGUCCCAGAGGGAACACAUUUGGCCCUGUGAUGUAAUUUUUAAGAAAAAAUGACAGCAGAUCUACUGGAGUAACUAGUGCCGCAAGUUGUUCUGAAGUUCACUUCAGUGUUGCUUUAAGAUUCGGCAGAGGUGUGCCUUACUUAACAGCCACGCUCUUGACACUUUCUGUGCUUAGAUCUCCAAGCCUUGAGCGCCCUUUUAUAAUUCCCUGUUGGAGAUUGGUUCUGAUGCUUUGAUUCAAUCAGAAAUUUGCAUAUCCAAAGGCUAAAGGAUGGCCCUGGCUGGGUGGAGAGAGAAGGGAGGAUGUAGAAGCUUCAGAAGAUAAAGCCAACGAGCCACAUGAGAUUUUGGCAGUAAGUCUGUCUGUACUGACAAGAACAUUCAAGAUGCUAGAAAGACCACAGUGACAAAGCAAAGUGAAGACAACUGCAUCACAAUGAAAUCCACUACUCUGUCUAGAGUGAACAAGUUAAACAGUCGGAGGGACAGCCCUGAGUGCCAGCGUCAAAGACUCGCACCAACCAGUGUGGAUAUUAGCAGAGACUGAGUGACCCCAACACUUCAUGUGGUAAAAGUGCUGUAGAAAGUUAAAUACUUCCUUGGAAAAAGUGGAGAAGAAGAUACUUUAACAGCACAAUGCAGUCAAAUGUCUGCUGAGAUAGAUACUGGCAUGGAAGAAGGGCCAGCAGCACAGCCCCAGGACAGCAGUAGCACCCACAAUCAGUAGAAGCACCGUGAGUGUGAGUAAACAUCUGCACGGGUGGAUCCCCAUGCUGAGGCCCGGAAUCCCAGAAGACGACAACCAUUCACGGAUGUUGGGCUAAGAUUAGGCUUCCCCUCUCCUCCUCCUUCUCUAAGAUUAGGCUUCCCCUCUCCUCCUCCUUCUCCUUCUCCCUCUUAUUCUUUACAAACAUUCAAGUAAAACACUCAUGCAUAUGAAAUGCUAAGUAGUCUAAAUAAAACUUUUCUUCCAUGUUUUAAUGAUA